ensembl:lncRNA
CUUUAAAACAAUAAAAAGAGAGAGGAUCCAAAGUUUUACUCGUUAAACCGCUUACCUUUUCCUAGUCCCUUCGCCCCUUGGCCCCGGGGAUCCCGGCUCCUAGGCUCCGAGAUGAACCGGAGGGAAGGAUGCUCCUCACAGCAACCUUUUUCCUCCGAGGCGCCUCCGGGGCUGAGAUGCCCCUGCCUUGCGGCUCCUGAGUGACUGGCUCCUGGGAGAGACCGCACCGCUGCUGUGGGACCAGGUCGCGCGUGGCGAUUGAGAUAGUCGCAGAGGUCGUGGUGAGGGGUUGGAGACCGACCGCUGCGCCCUCAGUCCCCGAUCCCGGACGUACUUGAGACUGCGCGGGACGUACCCAAGUCCUGUCUAGGGUUCUCUUGCGCUGGGCCAGCGCAGCAGUCUCCGACGGCGCGCGCCCCGCGGUACUCCCUGGGGAUCAGCACCUUCGCCUCCGGGCUGGGUUCAGAGUGAAGAUCUCAGCGCAAGCCGCUGGCCUGCCCCGCGACUGCCUACCUGCUGCGGGUAGGAGGACAGGAAGGUCCCCAGUCCGGGAGGUGGCGAGCCCGAGCGCAAAGUUGGCGUCGGGAGCAGGGUCAGGGGCACCUCCGGGCCCCGCGCCCCUCCAGCCCCAUCCGCCGACAGCCCAGCCGCAGGUUGGCGCCGCAGGGGUGGAACCUGGAAGUCUGGGAGGGCCUAGCUCGGAGCCCUGGCCCUCCGGAGGCGGGAGCCUGGCAGAGGGAUUAGAAAGGCGGCUUUCAAAUUCGGCAGUGGCAAUUCAGGGUAGAAGGGAGAUCGCAAGUACACAGGUGCCCCUUGGACGCCACAACGCCAAGGGCCUGUAUUCUUACAACCUCUGCUGUCUGAUGGGCGGAGAUGAGGUGGGGUAGGGGGCUCUGUCCAGCCACCAGCGCUGGGAGUGGCUGUAAACGCUGACCCAGCGCCUCGCCGCAAGCGGGGUCUCGGCCGCGGGGACUGCAGAGUCUGGGGCGGGCACCAGUUCCCAAUGAGCAUCUCCUUCCUGCUGUCCUGAUCCGAGGGGGAGUGGGUCCUAGUCUCUGGGUCUUAGCGUUCGGCUGCAGCUCACGAACCGUUCAUCUACUCCCUCCAGGCCGCAGGCGCCAGCACCAUUCACCCCCCAUUUCCCCUCCCCGGAUGCGCCCUUCCUCCCCGCAAUUGAGAAACCAUCUAGAGCAACGCCGCCAGGUCCCGGCGGAGGGGCACCUCUAUCCUGCCGAACCGGCUAAUUAAUCAGAGAGCCUCGAGAAAACCGAGGAGUUGUAAAUGGGCGGUUUGGAACGAGGGGGCGCUAACGAGGUCAUUAACCUCCAGAAAAAAAAAUGCACUUAUGUAGUACUCAGCAAAUCCCACUAUUUCAGAAGGCUUCAGACCCCUUGGGCCCAGGUUAAGAACUCCCAUUUGGAUUGAUCAAAGAAGCUGCUGUUUGGAAAAUGCUUUCUGGGCCCCCUAUUUCUUUUCUACUUAUCCUCUAAGGCAAGCUCUUGCUCCCUCCAGCCAAGGGAAAAGGCUCAUUGAGAAGCCAAAUGAGAAUCUGCCACCACUCCCCAGACCUUCUGAAACCCCAGCAGAUCCAGAUCCUUCAGGCUAAAGGGAGUUUGAACCUGAAAUGAGCCAGAUAAUUGCCGCAAUAUUCUAUUCCUUAUUGAAGAGGUAGGUACAAGCCAGGAGUUCAAGGGGCCUCAUUUUACAGACAUUGCUCUAAGUCAAAAGAAUACAUUACAUACACAGGCCAAGACACACAGGCUCCAACCUAGACUGGUUCUCUGAGAACAAAGCAGGCUCCCUCCUCCUUCACCCCCUCUUCCUUCUCCACCUCCUCCUCCUCCACCUCCUCCUUAU